rnacentral:rRNA from 1 species
GCGGACGGGUGAGUAACACGUGGGUAACCUACCUAUAAGACUGGGAUAACUUCGGGAAACCGGAGCUAAUACCGGAUAAUAUUUCGAACCGCAUGGUUCGAUAGUGAAAGAUGGUUUUGCUAUCACUUAUAGAUGGACCUGCGCCGUAUUAGCUAGUUGGUAAGGUAACGGCUUACCAAGGCUACGAUACGUAGCCGACCUGAGAGGGUGAUCGGCCACACUGGAACUGAGACACGGUCCAGACUCCUACGGUAGGCAGCAGCG